rnacentral:misc_RNA from 1 species
UUAAGUUCAGCGGGUAUCCCUACCUGAUCCGAGGUCAAACGCAAGAAUAAAAGGCUUGUUGGACGCUCGGCGUAUAAGACUAGAGGCUGCAGUUGUGCUGCGUUCCCCAGAUUUAUUCCGGCUGCCAAUCACUUUAAGGCGAGUCCGCCACGAGGGCAGGACAAACACCCAACACCAAGACUGAGCUUGAGGGUACAAAU